rnacentral:rRNA from 1 species
AAACGUAGGUGGCAAGCGUUGUCCGGAAUUACUGGGUGUAAAGGGAGCGCAGGCGGGUGUGCAAGUUAAAUGUGAAAUCUAUGGGCUCAACCCAUAAAUUGCGUUUAAGACUGCACAUCUUGAGUGGAGCAGAGGCAAGCGGAAUUCCCGGUGUAGCGGUGGAAUGCGUAGAUAUCGGGAGGAACAUCGGUGGCGAAGGCGGCUUGCUGGGCUUUUACUGACGCUGAGGCUCGAAAGCGUGGGUAGCAAACAGGAUUAGAUACCCUGGUAGUCCACGCCGUAAACGAUGAUUACUAGGUAUAGGGGGACUGACCCCCUCUGUGCCGCAGCAAACGCAUUAAGUAAUCCACCUGGGGAGUACGGCCGCAAGGUUAAA